CUCUGAAGUUCUGCUUGUGCAUAACACUCAGAACGACAGGGGGAUGCGUAUUCGGGACUUUAAUCUGUGGCUUGGUGAAUGGUGUCGGGAGCAAGGAUUUGGCUUUAUUUCUCAUGGUAGCUCUGUUUGGUAUGGAAGUAAGCUGUACAAAAAAGAUGGUUUGCAUCUUUCUCAAAAGGGAACAAAUGUUCUCAGUGAGCAGUUCAGAGGUUUUGCUAGGAUGUAUUAAAUUAGGAAGGGUGGGGGGGGGCAAAAGGGUGAUAAAACAUCAAUCCAAUUGUCCCCCAAAACAAGGACAGCAGGUGCCUGUAGCAAGUGUGUUAAAAAAUUAUAAGCUUAGAGUCAUGUCUACAAAUGCUCGCAGUUUAGGGAAUAAGA